rnacentral:rRNA from 1 species
AGUGAACGCUGGCGGUAGGCCUAACACAUGCAAGUCGAACGGCAGCACAGUAAGAGCUUGCUCUUACGGGUGGCGAGUGGCGGACGGGUGAGGAAUACAUCGGAAUCUACUUUUUCGUGGGGGUUAACGUAGGGAAACUUACGCUAAUACCGCAUACGCCCUACGGGUGAAAGCAGGGGAUCUUCUGACCUUGCGCGAUUGAAUGAGCCGAUGUCGGAUUAGCUAGUUGGCGGGGUAAAGGCCCACCAAGGCGACGAUCCGUAGCUGGUCUGAGAGGAUGAUCAGCCACACUGGAACUGAGACACGGUCCAGACUCCUACGGGAGGCAGCAGUGGGGAAUAUUGGACAAUGGGCGCAAGCCUGAUCCAGCCAUACCGCGUGGGUGAAGAAGGCCUUCGGGUUGUAAAGCCCUUUUGUUGGGAAAGAAAAGCAGCAGGUUAAUACCCCGCUGUUCUGACGGUACCCAAAGAAUAAGCACCGGCUAACUUCGUG